rnacentral:lncRNA from 1 species
GAGUACCCCAGCCUAAACACCACGUUUACGCCAGCAAUGAUUACUCUAAACUCUACGCGAAGAGAUUAAAGUAAACUCAUAAACCAUAAGAACAAUAAAACAAGAACUUACUAGAAUUUAGAAGUCGAAUUACUGAAGAAUCCUAGGAGCAAGCUUCGGGUUAGGAGAACUCGAUCCCGCAGGUACAAGCUUGGAGUAGACACCGACAGGCCGGGCUUCCUCCACUCUUCACCUCCACUCUAUCUCUCUCAAUCUUGUAGAAACUAGAAGAUCUAUUUCUACCUUACAUUGGUUGCUAAGCCUAAAAAGAAAUAUUAAUUAGAGAAGAGGUUUUCCUUCGAGGGCACCCCUCAGUCUCUAUGAUAAUUUCUUCAUGUCUUCUCUAGGGGCCAGGGGGGCCUUGCUUAUAUAAUCCUCCCCUUCUAUGCGUUUUUGGGUCGAUAGGCGAGGUGGUACUAUGUUUUUCUUGAUCCAAUAGGUCGGUGGAAUAUCCCGAACGAAGAGAGUCCCGAAAGCAAUCUAGCAGGGGGCGGGCGCCCAGGCUACCAGGGCGGGCGCCCUGGGCCUGGCCCAGUUUCGCCUCCGCUUCGGUCUCGCGGCUUCUGGAGUCUUCUAGAUGAUGUAAAAUUACGCGGUGCGUUGAUAUCUCUAUGUAAUCCCGACAUGUGGGCCUUUCUUCCUUAUUUCCUGAUAACCCCCUACAGAAACAGAUAAACAACAAAACUCGUGGAAUUCUGUCAGAUCAAACCCUAAUUCUAGGUGUUGGUUGCAUAUUGGUCCUUUCUCUUGUUUCUUUGAUAAUUAAAAUUGAUACUUAAGAACCGUCAACAAAUACCCCCAUACUUAGGCUUUUACUCGUCCUCAACAAAAGGAUGGUUAAGAAUAAUAUCUGGGGUAAACAUUUUAAAGCAUUCUCUAUAUAAUUGCAGGGUGUUAAAAUCCACUGUGUACCAUAGUCAGGAAAGUUUAUGAUUAAGAGUAAAGAUCCUUUCUUCUCAAUCCUGUCACUUGGAGCUUUUGUAUAUUUUUGAAAGAAAGUUAGCAUACCUUUUUAUCCUCAUAGGUUCUUCUCAGAUCACUCAUUAUCUUUUAUAUAUAUCUCACUGAGGUUGUUUUAAUUUGCAAAAAUUCUCAAGCAUACUUACUUUGCAUUUAUUGCCUGCUCAAAACGGGAUCCGAGGAGGGGAAUGUCAUACUCUUAGCUCAAAGACUUUGGAAAUUAAAAACUUUGUCAUCUCUUGCUGGCAUAUUGCUUAUUAGAGGGACCAUGGGCUAUCAUUUUUUUCUCUUUUUCUCUUCUUUUUUUAAGUGGAUACCGAGGUACCCCUAAUUCUACUGCCGGACACUUGUCCAUUUUUUUUCUGCGAGGUUGUCGAGCACUUGCUCCUUUUUAUUUCCUCGAAAUAUCUCUAUUUUUUUUCAUAGCCCAUGCCUCUAAUGCAAUAAUACUUUGGAAGAGUGAAUCUUACUGAAAUAAUAUCUUGAUCUUAGGAGCAUGAUAAAUCUCUCAACAAGGGUCUAACUCAUUUUGAACAAACUCAAUACAGAGCAGAUAGCUUUUUACAAUCAUAUUUAAUAUUUUCUGUUUUAUCAGGCAUAUAAAACAUUGAGGAUGGUAGCUAGAAUUUUGAAUAUUUUGAAAUAAAUUCUCCAAGCAACAAUGAUAUCAAAAAUAAGAAACUCAUACUCUACCAUCACAUAUUCCAUAUUGACUUAAGUAACACAGGGUUUUAAAAUGAUUUUAUAAUAAUUGCAAAUUUUCAGGAAAUAUCAUAGAUUGAGAUUAAUCAUGAUUAGAAAUAUUUUAAUCUUUUUUAUUUUAUCAUGUCGGAAACAAUAAUCUGCAUAAUCCAAAAUAUAUAUAUGUGUAAAGUAAAGUGUGCAGAGUGUGUACCUGAGUGGUGGAGUGGUGUAUUUGGCAUGUCAAGGGAUCUCCCCCAUACUUGUUUUCUGCUUUCUUACGAAAAUAAAGUAGAGACACACAAGACAUAAUAAUAAUAAUAAUAAUAAUAAUAAUACUCUUUAUUAAUCUUGAGGAAUUUAUUACAAAAGACUAGUAGCAGACUGAUGAUAAUAGUAAACUGAUGAUAAUAGCAAACCUAAACCGAAUUUAAAGAUAACUAAGAUGCAUUGCCUCAAGGUCUAAUCUAGAUAACUUAACGGCGCUCUAAUUCCUUAAUCUUCUUGUUGGCACUGGCAAGAUCCUGCCUAAGGCCUAGUAUAAUGGUGUUGUGGUUAGAGAGCUGCCUAGUGAGGGAAUUAAUCGAGGACUGGAGGUCUAUGAUAACUCUAUCUAGCCUGCGAACUUCCUCAUCAAUAUCCAUUAUAGUCUUGCGACGCUUGGGAGGUGUCUCAAAAGCAUUGAGAGCGUGCUUUGGGGCUGCCUUUAGAGGGAUGAAACGGACUUUAGCUGCUCUAAUCCCUUCAAAGUAAGGUCUUUCCUCCUCUGUAGUGUAGCGAAUACUGCUGAUCUCGCCGCUUCGGUUGGUCUUGACUCCAAUGACCCUCUCAUUGGGUCUAGGUGGAAGGAUCCUCAUGCCGAUUGGCACCUUGAUAGUGGUCUUCGUCUUGGAUGAUGAUCCUUUGAGGAGUAGGGGUUGUGGCGGUGCGGUGAGAACUGGUUGAGCAUGGUAAGAUUGGGCGGAGCUGCGUUGGCGUAAUGGCAUGGCUUCUAGCUGACGCUCUGUGUUGGCUGGGACGAGAGCACGGGCAUCGGGGUCUUCCACAGGCUCCAUGUUGAGGUUGAAGGGGACGACUUCCCAAUCAUCGUGGUACUUCUCGGCCAUUGGAGCAGCAAGGAACUAAUAAAAUUUUAAUUGAAGUAGAGCUAAUCAAGCUCUAAUUGAAGGAGAGAAAGCUUGGUGGCGUGGUGUUUGAAAACUGAGGUCAGGGGUCUGUUUAUAUAGGGGUCAAAAGGAUGCCUCUAUGGGUUGUUCGGGUUGCUCCCGUCGAUGUGCGUACGAAACUUUCCAUCCGAGGGAUUAUUCGGAUCACCCUAAGUGCAUUUUCCAUAACAGAGAAAGUCGGGACCGAGGGGGAGCAGGGGCUGGGCGCCCGCCCACUUGACCUGGGCGCCCGCCCUCUCUCUGGCCCCUCUGUGGGCCCACUUCUCCGAGCGCGUUUCUAGAUGCGAAAUUAUUUAGAAAAAUAUAUAUAUGACCCAAAACCAUCAGACCAAAAGUGUCGGACUCUAAUUCUCCAUGGGAAGGUAAAAUGGACUACGUCUAUUUCUUCAAAUUCCUCAUUGGGCUCUAAAAAUAAUUUAAGACGUUGACCAUUUACCUUGAAUAAUGUACCUUCGCUAUUUUGAAGUGUGAUAGCUCCGUGGGAUGAUGAGUUGAUUACCUUGAAUGGCCCUUCCCAUUUGCUCCGGAGUUUUCCAUGCCCGAAAAGCUUUACCCUGGAAUUAAAAAGUAAUACCUUAUCUCCGGGUGUGAACUCCUUCUUCUUGAUUCUCUUGUCAUGCCACCUUUUGACUCUUUCUUUGUAGAUCUUUGAAUUGUGAUAUGCCUUCUCUCGCCAUUCUUCCAAUUCUGAUAGUUGCAUUCUUCUAUAAUCUCCAGCAACAUCUAGGUCCAUAUUCCAUCUCUUUAUGGCCCAGUAUGCUUUGAACUCUAGUUCAACAGGUAGAUGGCAAGUCUUCCCAUACACCAAUUGGUAUGGAGACAUUCCAAUUGGGGUCUUGUAUGCUGUCUGGUAUGCCCAGAGUGCAUCGGGUAACUUGUCUUUCCAUGCCGUUCCCAUUUCAUUUACUGUCUUCUGAAGAAUAUUCUUGAUUUGUUUGUUGGAAGUCUCUGCUUGGCCACUUGUCUGAGGAUGAUAGGGGGUAGCAACGUUGUGACGGAUUCCAUGUCUUGAUAGGUAUUGCUUGAAGCGUUUGUCAAUGAAGUGUGCUCCUCCAUCACUUAUCACUACUCUGGGGACUCCAAAUCUUGGAAAUAUAAUUUCUUCAAACAUCCUCUUUGAACUGACGUUGUCGGCAUGCUUGCAAGGUAAUGCUUCUACCCACUUGGAGACAUAGUCAACUGCCACCAAGAUGUACUCACACUUCUUUGAUGGAGGAAAUGGACCCAUGUAGUCCAUUCCCCAGACAUCAAAGAGCUCAAUCUGAAGGUUGUUGGUGAGUGGCAUUGCAUCCCUUAUGUUUCCGUGCCUUUGACAUGGCCCACAUCUUCUGAUAUAUUGCUUCGUGUCCUCAUACAUUGUAGGCCAAUAGAAUCCACACUGCCAGAUCUUUGAAUGUGUACGGAAUGCUCCAUAAUGACCUCCAUAUGGUGAUGAAUGACAUCUGUCGAUGAUCUUCCAUCCUUCCUCAGUGGUCACACAUCUCCUGAGUAAGCCAUCAGAGCAUACUCGGAAGAGGUAUGGCUCAUCCCAUAUAUGUGAACGACUUUCUUGAAUAAGCUUCUUCUUGUUUGCUCCUGGUGGUACAUACCCUGAAACCAUAAAAUUAACAAUAUCUGCAUACCAGGGGUCAGACCUGUUAAUCCCGUAGAGCAUGUCGUCCUGGAGUGAAUCAUUGAUGGGGGUUUCCUGUGGACUCUUAAAAUACAUUCUAGACAAGUGAUCAGCAACAGAAUUUUCUACUCCCUUUUUAUCUUUUAUUUCUAAGUCAAAUUCUUGGAGUAAUAAAAUCCAUCUAAUCAGGCGAGGUUUAGCAUCUUUUUUAGUGAGCAAAUAUUUUAAUGCAGCAUGAUCAGUGUAAACAAUUAUUUUAGCUCCAACUAAAUAAGAUCUAAAUUUAUCAAUGGCAAAGACAACAGCCAGAAGCUCUUUUUCAGUGGUUGCGUAAUUAAGUUGAGCUCCUGUCAAACUUUUACUGGCACAAGCAAUUGCAUGAUGCUUCUUAUCUUUAGUUUGUCCCAAUACUGCCCCCACAGCAUAAUCACUAGCAUCACACAUAAUUUCAAAAGGCAACGACCAAUCAGGGGGUUGAAUGAUUGGUGCAGAGAUGAGUGCUUUCUUUAAUAAAUUGAAAGAUGUUAGACAUGCAUCAUCAAAUUCGAAAGGAGCAUCCUUGGCUAGCAAAAGAGUAAGUGGUCUAGCAAUAAAUGAAAAAUCUUUUAUGAAUCUACGAUAAAAACCAGCAUGGCCAAGAAAGCUUCGAAUUCCUUUUAUGUUCACAGGUGGAGGUAGUUGUUCAAUUACUUCAAUUUUAGAUUUGUCUACCUCAAUCCCUCUUUGAGACACUAAGUGUCCUAGCACUAUUCCUUCCCUAACCAUAAAAUGACAUUUUUCCCAAUUAAGGAUUAAGUGCUUUUCUUCACAUCUUUGCAAAACCUUGUCUAAGUUUUCAAGACAACUAUCAAAAGUUUUUCCAUAAACAGAGAAAUCAUCCAUGAAAACUUCCAUAAUCUCUUCAAUCAUAUCAGAAAAUAUAGACAUCAUGCAUCUUUGAAAAGAAGCUGGUGCAUUACAUAACCCAAAAGACAUUCUACGGUAAGCAUAAGUUCCAUAUGGGCAUGUAAAAGUGGUUUUGCUUUGAUCAUCGGGAUGGAUCGGGAUUUGGUGAUAUCCUGAGUAUCCAUCUAAGAAACAGAAAAACGAAUGGUUUGCUAACCGCUCUAGCAUUUCAUCUAUGCAAGGUAAAGGAAAGUGGUCUUUUCUCGUGGCUUUGUUUAAUUUUCUAUAGUCUAUGAACAUCCGCCAUCCUGUGACAGUGCGUUGCGGAAUUAGCUCGUUCUUUUCAUUCAUAAUAACUGUCAUGCCUCCCUUUUUGGGCACAACUUGCACUGGGCUCACCCACUCACUGUGCGGCACAAGAUAUAUAAUCCCUGCAUGCAGCAACUUUAUAACUUCCUUUUUAACUACCUCUCUCAUAGUGUUGUUAAGUCUACGUUGGGGUUCUCGAGAGGGUGUAACAGAAGGAUCUGUUGGAAUACGAUGGGUACAAAUCAUAGGACUGAUUCCUGUAAGAUCUUGAAGUGAGUAGCCAAAAACCGAGUGAUGUUUCUCAAGAAUGGUCAUUAAUCGCAGAGUUUGAUCCUGAGUGAGUUUAUCGCUAAUGAUCACAGGGAACUCUGGAUUAUUGUUUAGGAAAGCAUAGGUAAGACCGGGUGGUAAACUUUUAAGCUCUAUGGGGGGUCUAGGUGUUUCUGCAAACUCAUCUAAGGGUUCAGGCUCAGAAGGUUCGUCUUCUUCUUCUGUGAAGAAAGGAGUUUCAUCUUCUAAGUCUAGUUCAUCAAAAAGCUCUAGAGAUGCAGCCUUUACUUCCUCCAUAGGAUCAGGCAAAAGAUAUGACUCGGCCUUAUUGUUUAAGGAGUGUGAAAUUAUCAGUAUGACCUUCAUAAAGGAGUCGUCUAAAAGGUUGUCCUAUCAACAGGUCGAAGUCCCAUGUAUCAAAGAUAUAGAAGUUCAAAUGAACCAUGGAGCCUUCUACUGUAAGAGGUAGGACAUUAAUAAUUCCAAGACUGGGGACUAAUCGUCCCGAAGAUUCCUUUAUGACCUUUGUUGUGGGGGUUAAGAUAAGAUUUUUAAAUAGUUUAAGUGCAAAGGAUUCAGACAUAAUGUUGAUCCCCACAACAGGAUUAUAAAGAGCAUUAAAUCGCUCAGAAUUAUAAGCACAACGUAUAGUUCUAGAGGGUGUGUCCAAACGGAUCACAUCAGAGGAAAGCUCUGAUUCCUCCAACCACUCGCUACUCAUGACUGAGAUAAGCUCUCUCAAUUGAUAUUCACUUGGUAAAUAAAUGCUAGACUGGCCAUUUUGGGGUUUGUCAAUAGAAUGGUAGUUUGAAAUAUUUCCAAAAUCGGCAAAAAUAUCGGAUUCUAUAUCCAGCAUGAAGUCCGGUGGUGGAAUUUCUUCCUCUUGUGGCUCCGAACUUGGGAUAGCUAAAGUAGAUGAAGAAUUUGGUAGAGUGUCUACUUCGGCUUCGUAGGUUUCAUCAUGAAGGGUAUUAUCCAUCUCAGCUUCUAGGAUUCUAUCUAGGAUCACUCUAGCUUCAUCAGCAGGGAUGCGAAAGAAAGAACCUCUAGACAUUGUGUGUAGCAUUUGUUUGUGAUUUUUAUGAAGACCUCAAAAAAAGUGAAAUAAAAGAACAGGGUCUUCAAGAUUAAGGUUUGGACCAGAUUCUAAAAGAUCAGAAAAACGUUUCCAGGAUUUUCCCAAAGUUUUAUUAUCUUUUUGUUUAAAAGAUAGGACUUCGAGUCUAAGGUCGGCUAUACGGUCAAGGGAAUAGAAAUCUAGACAAAAGUUGGCUCGUAAAACUCCCCAUUCACCUUGUUGUUGACUUACCUUCUGACUGUACCAUUGUCUAGCUUCUCCCCUCAAAGAAAAAGGAAAAAUCUUCCAACGUAAAGUUUUAUCAGAAAUGCCUUCAAUGCGAAGACAAUCACAUGUUUGCUCAAAAUCUCUAAUAUGAAGGUAAGGGUUUUCGUCUUCCUUUCCCGAAAAAGAUAGGUUUUGAAUCAUGGCAAUCAACCUAGAACUUAACUUAUACUGGGAUGUUUGGAUAGGCUGUGAUGACUCCCAUGGUAAAAGGUCAGUUGCUAAAGGGAUUGCAGACUCAUGGAUCGAUUUAGAAUUUUGGUUUUCCAUAAGGUAAGAAUAAAGAAAAUAAAUAAAGGAUAUAUAAGAAAAGAUAAAAGUAUAGAUACAAGCUAAUAGCAAGACACAGGUUAUCUCAGCAACCGUCUUUCUCCCCGGCAACGGCGCCAGAAAUGCUUGUUGAUAUUUGGGAACGCAAUAAGGAAUUGAUCCGCAAGCGCACGGAUAUCGGUGAGCACUUCACCCGGGAAAUUAUCCAGAGUAUCGUAUUUAUUUUUUUACCACUAGGAGAAAGAGUGCAUCUGACUAACCGGUCUAUUACUACUAACCUUUAGGCACAAAGAAUGUCUUUUGAUGUGAGUGAUAAAUAGAGAAGACUGCAACCGUAGUCUCCUUCUAACCUUGGUAAGGAUGAUCUACUGUUCUAAUGGGGAGGCUAUCAGAAUCUAGACAACACACAGGAUGUUCGACCCGCACCUAUAAACCCUAUCCUUCCUGCUAACGAGAUGUGAUCUACAAAGGUAGCUCAGAAAUGUCACGUUCCUCACUACUACCACGGUCCAGCUAGUCAAGGAAUAUCUAUGAGUACCCCAGCCUAAACACCACGUUUACGCCAGCAAUGAUUACUCUAAACUCUACGCGAAGAGAUUAAAGUAAACUCAUAAACCAUAAGAACAAUAAAACAAGAACUUACUAGAACUUAGAAGUCGAAUUACUGAAGAAUCCUAGGAGCAAGCUUCGGGUUAGGAGAACUUGAUCCCGCAGGUACAAGCUUGGAGUAGACACCGACAGGCCGGGCUUCCUCCACUCUUCACCUCCACUCUAUCUCUCUCAAUCUAGUAGAAACUAGAAGAUCUAUUUCUACCUUACAUUGGUUGCUAAGCCUAAAAAGAAAUAUUAAUUAGAGAAGAGGUUUUCCUUCGAGGGCACCCCACAGUCUCUAUGAUAAUUUCUUCAUGUCUUCUCCAGGGGCAGGGGGGCCUUGCUUAUAUAGUCCUCCCCUUCUAUGCGUUUUUGGGUCGAUACGCAAGGUGGUACUAUGUUUUUCUUGAUCCAAUAGGUCGGUGGAAUAUCCCGAACGAAGAGAGUCCCGAAAGCAAUCCAGCAGGGGGCGGGCGCCCAGGCUACCAGGGCGGGCGCCCUGGGCCUGGCCCAGUUUCGCCUCCGCUUCGGUCUCGUGGCUUCUGGAGUCUUCUAGAUGAUGUAAAAUUACGCGGUGCGUUGAUAUCUCUAUGUAAUCCCGACAUGUGGGCCUUUCUUCCUUAUUUCCUGAUAACCCCCUGCAGAAACAGAUAAACAACAAAACUCGUGGAAUUCUGUCAGAUCAAACCCUAAUUCUAGGUGUUGGUUGCAUAUUGGUCCUUUCUCUUGUUUAUUUGAUAAUUAAAAUUGAUACUUAAGAACCGUCAACACCCGCCACCUCCUCUGUUCUCUCCCAACGGUGAACGGACCAAGGCCAAACCCUAGCGACUGCGAGCGAGAUUCCGGCGGGCGACAACCGAGGCGAGUUUCUAAGUCAACUCGAUUCGAUUCGCCAGCCACCACGCUCCGGUUGGGGAAGAAGACCGAGCCGCCGAGCACACGAGGAAGAAGCGCGGAGGAGGCGCCUGACGGCGGUGGUACGAGCGGAGGAGGCGCUUGACGGCGGUGGCGGCGGUGGCGGCAAAUUUGAGCAGCCCUUCGGGGUCAAAGUAAGACAGCCGAAGACCUAGCACUCGCAGGGGACGAGGCCAGGCUUAUAUAGGGGAAGAUUAACCGUGGCGGGCAGAUAAGAGUGACCGCCACGGUUAAUAUUAACCGUGGCGGGCGUUUUACAAUGACCGCCAUGGUAAAUGCAUUAACCGUGGCGGUUAUUUUAUGAUGCCUGCCACAGUAAAUAAUUUAUGUAAAUUAUAAAAUAAUUAAAUCAUUUGUAAAGUAUCUCUAAUGAUAUAAUAGGUCUUAACAAAAUAUAUAAUAUUUAUGUACAAAUUUUGAGUAAGACGGAUGAUCAAAUAAGAUGUGUGAAAUUCUAAAAUGACAUUCUUUUUGGGACGGAGGGAGUAGGUAGUAAGAGUAGUUAGGAGUAGUAGUAACUAGUAGGAUAUUAGUAGUAGUAGCAGUAGUACAUUACAAUAUAUGUGGUUCCAUUACAAUAAUAGAUAGUUACAUAAGUUCUUGUUCGUUAAUAUCAUUUUGUUACAAGUGAUCCUACGACGGUCUUCCUCUCACCAUCAGGGCAAAACCACGGCAUAAUCUUACUCUUAUUGCAGCGGGCCUCGAUGAACUUUAUCUUCCGUGGAUGGUCGGUAAAGAGCGAUAGCUCAGCAUAGUUGAUGUAUUCUUCGGGGCUUUGGACUCCAUCUGCUCCCACAAUCCGCUGCUUCCCGGACACAACCACAUGUUUUUUGCUGUCUUUGGGCUUCGGAAAGUAGGCAACUUGCGCACAACGGCUUGCUAGCACCCACUGAUCAUCUUUAUAGCCGACACUUUGGAGCUCCACAUUGGUUAGCCCAUAUUCAUCGACAAGAACCCCUUUUGGUUUGACGCACUGGCACCGAAAGACAGCUAACUGUAGUUCACCACCGUAGUCAAGUUCCCAUAUGUCUUCAAUCUGCCCAAAGUAUGUCCUGGUCAGCCCUGUUGAGUCGUCAAUGCCCUCAUAUCAAACCCCACUAUUCUGUGCCGCGCUCUUCUUGUCCUUCUCCUUUGUGUGGAAUCUGUAUCCAUUGAUGUCAUACCCUUGCCAUGUGGUGAUUUGUGUUGAUGGGCCAGAUGCAAGCCUUGCUUCAUCAGAGUCCCCGUGGGGUAUGUCCUAUAGCUCUUUGAUCGACACUGUGAAAUUUGCCUUGUGUUGCUUUUGGACCCAUGCCUCCGUGCGUUGUCCAUCACAAGUGGCACGGAUCUCCUCCAGAUGCUUAUCAACAAAUGGUUCCAUAACCACUAGUUGAUUGAGGACAUUGUGAUGAGCUUCUUUCACCAUUUCGUACUUGAAAUCGGUGCGUACUUUCCUCCCUGUGCAACCAAUUCCUAUUGUUCUGCCUUCAUGCUGAGGGACAGGUAGGCCAAUAGCCCUUCCGUCCUGGAUAUACUUCGUGCAACAGUUAACAGCCUCCUCGGUUGUGUAUGCCUCGACCAUAGAGCCCUCUGGGUAGGCAUGGUUAAGGACGUAUCUGUUGAGGGUUGACAUGAACCGCUCAUACGUCCACAUCUGGUGCAGGUACACGGGGCCUAGCUCUUGUAUCUGAUCAACCAUGUGCAUCAUCAGGUGUGUCAUAAUAUCAAAGAAAGAUGGUGGGAAGCACAUCUCGAGCUGGCAAAGAGUCUAUGUGAUGAACUGUUUUAGGUCAGGCAGCUCAGCUUCAUCGAUCACCUUUUGUGUGAUGAAGUUAAAGAAGUAACCAAGGCGUGUGAUGACCAUCUUCACAUACUCUAGACUGAUAGCCCUGAUCACAAUGGGAAGGAACACUGUGAGCAUGACAUGACAGUCAUGUGCAUUGAAGCUAGUUAGUGUAAGGUCUUUCAUGGAGACCAAGCUCUUGAUGUUUGAAGAGAAACCAGUCGGCACCUUGACACUCCUAAGCCAUUGGCACACAGCCCUCUUCUCAUCUUUCGUGAGGUUGUAGCUUGCGCCUGGAAUAUCAACUUUGCCACUCUGUGGUGACUGUGUUGGGUGAAUUUCAGUCCUGAUGUUCUGGUUCACAAGAUCCAUUCGUGAUUUUAGACCAUCCUUUGUCUUAGUCUUGAUGUCCAACAGAGUGCCAAUGGUGCUUUCGAAGACAUUCUUCUCCAGGUGCAUGCAGUCGAUUGCAUGAGGCGUGUCUAGCUCCUUCCAAUACGGAAGGUACUUGAAGAAACAUGACUGCUUCUUGAAAAGGAUUGGGGCGACAGGUGGUUCACCCUCUAACUUAUCGCGUUUCCUCUUCUUCCUUGAUGUGGUACCGGCUUCCUCUUUCUUCUUCUUCCCGAAAUCAUUAUCUAUACCUUUCACCAUUUCAAACACCUUUUGCCCAAACUUUGUUCUUUCUGCCUUGUCAAGUUCAGGCUCGUCGUUGUUGUCAAAGUACUUAUUCAUUGUACUUGCCCGGUACCUAUGGUUCUUGGAUAGGAAUCGCCUAUGCCUCAUGUACACUAACUUCUUGGAUGAUUUAAGAUAAGUGUAGCAGGUACCAUCAAUGCAAACUACACAACCUGACUUACCCUUGAUCUGCCCUGAUAGGGAAAGAAGAGCUGGGUAAUCGUUGAUGGUCACAAAAAUAAUAGCUUUUAGGGUGAACUUCUUCUUUUCUGAAGCAUCCAUCAUGGUGACCCCAGUUUCCCAUAGUAUCUUCAUGUCCUCCAUGAGUGGCUCGAGGAACACAUCUAUAUCAUUGCCUGGCUGCUUUGGUCCAGAAAUAAUACAGGUUAGUAAAAGAUAUCUAUGCUUUUGACAUAUCUAGGGAGGUAGGUUGUAUAUGGUGAGGAUGACUGGCCAAGUGCUGUGUGAGCUGCUAAGGUCACCGAAUGGGUUCAUCCCAUCGGUACUAAGUGCGAACCUAACGUUCCUUGCCUCAUUACCAAAUUCCUUUUGAAACUUAGCAUCAAAAUGCUUCCAUUGUUUGCCAUCGGCGGGGUGCCGCAGCUUGCCAUCACCCUUUGUGCGCUCAUCAGAUGCAUGCCACGACAUCAGCUUAGCAUCCUCAGGAUUCCCAAAUAUAGCAAGUAGGCGAUCAAUCACGGGUAGAUACCACAUCGUCAAAGCUGGAAUCUUCCUCUGCAUGUAACCCUCUUCUUCCUCAUCCUCCGGCGAUGGGAUCGGCUUCUUCCCAGUAGACUUUUUCUUCUUCAGCGCUCUCUCGUUGUCCGCCUCCGUGCGACAACCGGCAUUCCUUUUGUACCGACUCGCGCCACAGUGCGGACAACUCUGCAAUUUCUCAUACUUGCCUCGAUAGAGGAUACAAUGGUUAGGACAAGCAUGAAACUUUUUAAGCUUCAUCGCCACUGGCCGGAUGAGCUUCUUCGCCCGAUAGGUGUUGGGGGGCACCUUGUUUCCCUCUGGGUAUGUGUCAGCAAGGAUACGUAAUAGUUCGUUAAAGCUACUGUCCGACCACCCAUGACGAGCCUUUACCAUUAGCAUUUGGAGGUUAAAACUUAGUGCUGUCCAGUGCUUCGGACAGUCCUUAUAGAGGGGAUCAAUGGCUGCCUGCUUCAUCUCUCUAAAAUUCUCCAACCACCUUGGGCUCCCAAAUAAAAUGUCAUCUUCAUCAUGACGAUUAGCAAUUGACAAACAGCUCCACAGUCUCAGGAUCCCUCACUGGCUCAUCACUAUCAUCGUAUCCUUCAUCGCCGUCAGCCAUGUCUUGGAGCAGAUCAGCAAUCGUGAUGUAGUCAUGCUCGGUAGUAGCACUACCAUGUUCGUCGUCCGCUACUGAUGAGGUAUGUGGUUCGGUAUUCACCACCGCCUCAUCUUCUAUUUCCCCAUGAAACUUCCAAACAGUGUAAUCAUUGACAAAACCGUAUCGGACCAAAUGAGAUUUCACCGUGUCAUCUCCAUGGGCAUAAAGGUUCUUGCAAGUCUUACAUGGACAGAUGGUGAGUUCUCGCUUGAGACUAAGACGAUGACUUUUGGUGGUGGAAAUAAACUUUGUCAAAUGUUCAAUGUAAGCUGGAUCCAAUCUUGACAUCUUAUACAUCCAUUCCCUGUCCAUGACUCUUGCUCCCUUGCAAAGACAACAAGAAUAACACAUGUAAGCAUACUAAUCUAGAAAAUAAACAACUCAAAAUAGAUCUAGAUCUAGAUUUAAAGAAAAAGGUUCCAAAUCAAAGAAAAGAGAGAGGAUCGAGCAAGAGAACAUAAAUCUACCUCUUGUUGUGUCCUCCUUCACUAAAUAUAAGGGCAAAAUCUUCCCCUCUAGAAAAUGGCCAUUUUUAGGGAUUUGAGGUCAAAACCCUAAAAAUGGAGGAGCAGCCGCGGGGAAAAAGGUGGUUGCGGCUGUAUUUAUAGCCCGUACUUAACCGAGGCGGGCAUUGUAAGCCACCCGCCACGAUUAAUUAGCUAUUAACCACGGCGGGCACUAAAAGGAACCGCCAUGGUUAAUAUAUAUUAACGGUGGCGGUUUUCUAACAAUGCCCGCCACGGUUAAUAUAUAUUAACUGUGGCGGUUUUCUAACAUUGCCCGUCACGGUUAAUUAUUAACCGUGGCGGUUGUCUUCCGGCCUGGCCGGCCUGAACCGGCAGUGAAUAACCGUGGCGGGCGAAACCAACGCCCGCCUCGGAGGGCUUAUGUGAAACGUCGUGCAAAAUAAAUUUUGUAGUAGUGUUAGAGCUUCUUGGUAUGAAUACAAUUCAGUUCUCCUCCAUGAGCAAGUUCUUAUCUUAUUUAUAUGAUUAUGCAAUUGAAUUAGAGUAUAGUUGUGUUCGUAUCUUGUUCAUAGUAUAUGAACUAGUUCUUAGUUCUUGUGCUAUGUUCUUGAUGUGUUCAUCCUUAUUCUUCAUUGUUCAUCGAAUUAGUAUGAAUAGACAAAGGAUUAAGAUUGGGGUAAUGGUUCGAUGGGCUGUGAUGGCCACUCUUAGUCGAGCCUGUCAAUCCGAAGGGUUGGGGUCCUGGGAGGCUAGGAGGUGUUUCCAGUUACACGGGCGAGGUGCUCGGGUAUGCGGAGAUCAGCGGAUGCGUGGGUAUCUUUCGGGUAGAGGGGUAGGUGGUAGGGUAGUGAUAGCUCUAUCAUCCCUGGUAUUCCCCCAUGAUCAGGUAUUUCAAUAGGAGUUCUGUAAAGUCCCUAUGGGCUGGAUGUCCAGCUGUGGGGAUCUCCCAGAGCCUCAGACUUAUUUCUAACUCUAGUUAUAUUGAUUAGAUGUUCUAUCAAUUCUUUGCAUAGUUAUAUAAGAUCAAUGCCGGCUCAAGUAGUUGUUCUUUAUUUCUUUUAUUUCCUUAUUUUCUCUUUAUUCCUUGAGGUUGCCCCGAUGAGUGUGUCCACUAUCCAUAUUUAAGAGCUUGUCGUGACCCCUGAUUAGACUAUGUCUACCUAUGCAUCUCAACAAGUGAUCAUGCUACAAACUAAGCUAGAUGCAUUUGUUACGCCCUCCUACAGGAUUAAAUACGAUAACCCUUGAAUACUCACGGGUUGAAAUGCUACAAUGAUAGUUCUGUUCGCUUGCAGUUUUAUUCUUUAUAUUCAUGAACUAUUGAUUGGCGUACCUAAGUACCGUUACUUAAGAUUGUAAACUCUAUGCAAUUAUCUGGCGCCUUGCUACAGCUUUGCACAUCGUAAGUAAGGAUGGUUAGGAUGCCCAAUCUGGCAUUCCUAAUUAUUGUUACCAGACUGCACUGCUAAGGCCAGCGCCGUUAAAGGCCUUGGGUUAUCUCUCUGACGUAACGAUAGUUAUUGUAUACCAACACCCGACAUUUCUGGUGCCAUUGCUAAUGAUGGAUUUAUAGUCUAUCUUUAGUAGUGAUGCUAAGAAAUGCCAACAGACUACUUAGCAUUCUUAACCAUCAUGAACUUGAACAAUUAGACGGUUGCAAGUGCUAAAACAAAGUCUAUGUUGUUGUGAGACAUGAUAUAGCUAAGAUAAGAGAUCUAUACUAUUGUACUAAGCAUGCAUGAUUGCCAGAGAAUUUAUUUUUUUAAGAUGAAUAAAAACUUAAUUGUUCCUCAAUGGUGUUAAAUUCCUACCACAAGCCAUAUAUGCUCUACAUGAUAGAAACCCAACAUAUAGGCUACUUGCAUGUGUUGAGAGUUGUCAACUCUUGUUGACCCUUGGUUUAGAGUUGUGUCAUGCUCAAUGAGAUCAAGAUCCACACCAUCCACAUACAUCUGCUGGUCCUACACUGGGAGUAUGCAACAUUUCAUACCAUUUCAUUCCAUUCCACCAAAUAUAGAUGCUCCAUGCUUUAAGUGUAGAAUCUCUCUCUAAUAGCUGAAUGUUAGAUGAGACACAAAGCAAAGGCUAUAGAAAAAAUAAUCAUCUUGUUAGGAAGGACAUCAUCAAGUCCUUGAAAAAAAGAGAGAAAAAUGCUAGCCUUGUCUCAAUAAAAAAUAGAAAAAAUAGAGAGAGCACAAUCAAAUAAAGGAGCCAUCUACCCAUCAUACUCAUACCAACUUUCUGCAUUUAUAUCUUGAUCUUGAGCAUAACACUACUCUUCCUCCAAGGAUCCGAGGUUUGACUUCACAACAUAUGCAAUGGAAGUAUGCCAUCCCCUUGUUCCUACCUUGAGCUCCACAUAAGCCUUUAUUAUAGUAGGAUUACAUAGAGAAGGCAACUUACUCAUGUGCCUUGGUAAGGAUUUAUACACCACUUGAGUGACUUGAGAGAAACCAUAUGAGGAACAUUAAGAUUUCCUUUGAAAAACUUAGCAAAAACCUCUAGCAUGAAACUUGCUAAAGAAUGAGAAAAGUAGAUGUCCAGUCAAAGCUGUUCUAUCUGUCGACAUUGCAAGACUGAGUUAAUGCUAUAAGCCCCAUGGGUGCUAAAGUAACAUUGGUGUGUUAGCAUUGCUAAGUUUUCCAUUCAAGGAGAAGUUCUUUGUUGUGCACUUAGUACUACUAAGAUGUUAACUUAGUGAUAAUACCUCAUCCAAUUGAACCAAGUCUUGAUUGUUUGCAAGGGACGAGCAAAGGUUAAGCUUGGGGGAUCUUGUUGACGGGAAAUAAGACCCUAUUCUAUAUACUCAAAAGCCCGUCAACAGUCCUCGAUUGAAGGAAGAUAAGCAUCACAUGAAUAUAUUUAUCACUAAUAAAGUUCCACUUGUACUCUUAGUUUGUUCAAUGUUGGGAAGAAGGAAAUGAGCCCUGUGGGCCCUAGAACCUAGAUGGGUCGACUAGAGUUUAGGCCCACCAGGGGCUCCCCUCCAUGGCAUGAGCCAUGGCAUACUCCAAGGAGUCAAUCCCCAACCCUUGGAUCCAAGUGUGCUUGCCCUCAAUGGUUCAAACACUUAGCACAUGGAUCCUUGGGCCCACAUGGAAGCAAGCAAGUGUGCAACUAGACUCAAUUUUGGACAACACUUCACAUGACAAGUGGGGAUACCACCAGGAGGCCAGUGGUGGGCCAGGGGCCCCAAAGGUCGGUCGGCCGACCGACCAAUUGGGUGAUGCCACCUGGCCCAGCCUCCCAACGACCUAAGGACCUUCCAGAAGGUCAGUGGGACCCAGUGUCAGCCACAAGGCAGGUCGACCAACCUACAUGUGGGCCCCAUCUAAAGUCAGUUCACUCCCAUCGACCUUUUCUCAUGUGUGGCAAUGCUCCAACCGUCCAUCUAAGGCUGUUGGGAGGUCAGUGCAGCCAAGGGUGGAGAAGGAAGGAGCAUGCAGAUCGCUGACGUGGCACCCCCUCUCUCACCCCUAUAUAAGGAGGGUCCUCCAUCUCCCAUGAGACAUCUUCUUCAUAUUUCAUUUCCAAAUCACACCUGGGAGAUCAAGUGUAGUGUUGUCUAGUCUAGAGUGGGAGUUAGAGUCGAGUCGAGCGAAGCUUGGGUCUUCGGAGCUGUCUUCUAGAGAGUAUGGUAUAGCUCUUGUACCUUUUCUUGUAUCACAUUCUUUGUAUCAAUAUAGUCUUUCUUUACUUUACUAAGUAUUUACUUGAAGUCUUUACUUUGAGUAUUGCUUAGUGCGUUACUAUACUUGUAGUAGUGUUGUGUCUUAGUCUUAUUAGUGUUGCUGCCUUAGUUAGAUUAGUGUCUUCAACACCUUGUGUGUGUUCCACUACCAUUAGGCUCUUUGGCUAUUUAUAUGAUAGUUGAAGUUAUAAGACUAGUGUAAGCGAGGUGCUUAGGCUAGCGCUUAUUAGUGGAUGCCACCAUGUCAAACAUGUUAGCGGGCGGCGGCGAGGCGUGAUUGGCCUCUGCUUCCCAGUAGGUUCUAUUCACGUCGGGUACGGACUGUAGGCGCCCAUAAGACAAAAGUCCGCUUGGAUAGGAGUUUCGUCCUCCUAUUGCAGUCGACUUCCACCACACAAGACUGUUUGGAUACUAAUCUAGUUGAGUCAUCUACACUAAUUAUGAUUAGAACACAGAAGUAGAGUUAGAUACAUAGGAGUCCUUACUCACUCGUUGUCCUCCCACCUAGCUAGCUCACUACAAGUUAUCUUUACUUACCUUUAUCUGACUUAUCUAUUAUUCUAUCUUGCUACACUUACCCGCCUGUUAGCACUAGUGAACUUAGAUUGAGUAGACACAAACCAUGGAUAUCCAUCCAUAUAUUUAUUAGAGAGUCUUAGUCCACUUCCCAUGAGCGAACUAUAAAUUACGACACCGCGGAUACUCACCACGGUUGAAGUGCUACAGCGGUACCUGUGCGCUUGCAUAGUUACCCUUGGUACGUCUUGCGUCACCACUAGAGUUUAGCGUUGCUUAGCAUUUCUGGAGCCGUUGCUCAGGGUAGCCUGACACCCUAUCCUAGUAACAUCUCAGACUUGCAAUUAAGUAGUGCUGGUUAGGCACCACCAUUUCUAGAUACUUGUCACAUCUUACUCUAGCAAGUGUGCGUUUAGAUUUGCCAACACUCGGCUAGCCACCAGAGGGGAUCGGCCGAUCCCCCUAUGACAGGUGGGGCUAGCCUAGGUCGGUUGUCUGGUGUCCCCACUUGUCAUAGAGUCUGGUUCUCCAUCUUGUUGUACUUUGUCAUGCCGGUUCUUCUGACAUGUGGACCCAUGAAUCCGUGUGCUCUUGAUUUCAACCAUUGAGAGAAAGCACACUCUGAUCUGAAGGCUGAGAAUUGCUUCUAGCAGGUUGCCUUGGAUCAUGCCUACGUGGCACCUUGAGAAGGUGGCAUAGGGGGAUCAGCCGAUCCCCCAUGUGGGCCCAUCGUGGUUGCUUUUUGUGCCAUUUCAUGCUACUUGCGAAUCACAAGCUAAGAGUACAAGUGGAACUAGUUAUUGAUAAAAUGUGUUCAUGAAUGUUUAAUCUUCCUUGAAAUCGAGGCCUGUUGACGGUGUUUUGGAUGUGCAUUUUGAUGCUACAAUUACCAUCAAUAGGAAUCUUAUCACCUUAGUCCCUAGUCUUGGGAUGAUGAUGGUUCUAGGGUCUUCUAGAGUUUUCCGAGUCGUAUCCAUCGCGGACUUUCUCUCCUAUGCUCCAAAUAUGGAAAAUGAUAUAUAUGUCUUGAUCGUCUCAAUGAGCUCUCUACAAUGGUGUACUUAGAUCCUUCAGUUAAGACACUUUUAUUUGGUGAUUCUAGUCCUUUUCUAGUUUAACCCCUAUAAAACAUAGAUUCACCAAAACUCGUGGAACCUGUUUGAUUCAAACCCUACAACUAUGCUUUUUGGCUCAUAUCAUAUCUUAUCAAGUAAUAGUUUAUGGUUAAAAAUGAGCAAUAGUGACCGUCAACAAGUUCCCCAAGCUUACCCUUUGCUAGUCCCUUAGCAAAGCCAAUCUCAAUAAUGGAUCAGGAGUUGCUACAAUGCUUUCAUGCCUCAAAAGUACACAUGUGUUCAAACAAGAAUUCACCUUGGAUUGUAUUUAACUAUUCUGACUUUCAAACUUACUCGUAUUACCUUCAACCAUGGAGCUUUUGGCCUUCACUUGGGUCUUGAGUAGUUGAAAGAUAGAACAAUGUCAAGCAGUGUGUCUCAUGUUCUUUUAUCAACCUUUAUUAUGGAGAUUUUGUAAGUUUUCAAAAUAAAACUCAGAGAUUCCUUUAUAUGACCCUUGCUAGUCUCUCAUAUGUGAUAUUUGUGGAUCCUUACCAAGGUGAUGAUGGUAUUUUGCCUUCUCUUUUUUACUCAGAAUAUGUGGUAAUGGAAUAAGGUAGAGUAGCAUCAUGCCUCCUCUCUAUCACCCUAUAUCUAAUAGGAUUGUAUGGAGCUGAGGGUAUUUCAAGGAUGUAGCAUACUCACCUUGCAUGUGUUGCUUAGUCUAAACCAGGAUCCUUAGAGGGAGAGCAUACCCUUAGAUCAAGAUGUGCAUAUGUGUGGAAAUAUUUGGUGGCUAACCUAAUUCUACUUUGCUCUGCCUCUACUGAAGAAUUUAUGAAGAACUUUGUUGUGGAGGAUUUGGGAUAUCUUCUUUCUCCUUUCUUUGGUGAAAAUGAUGAACUUCUAGGCAUAAAGAUCAUAUACUUAUCUUUUUUUCUCUUCUUUUCCCUUUUUAUAAAGGAUCUCCUGCCUCAUACUUUGGAUACAAUGAACUUGGAGAAGAUGUAAAUCACAAUAUUGGGGUAUUUAUUUGGAAACCUAACAAUCUUUUUGGAUCUUCUCCCAGUGUAGGAGAUAGAUUUUUUAGGGUAGAAAGGCAUGUUUUUGCGUACUCCCAGGGUAGGAGCAGUAGGAUAUAUGUGUGUGUAAGUGAUCUUGAUCUUGGGAGCAUGACCAUCCUCUAAACAAUGGUCUCAUAGGAUGACCAAACUCAAAACAAAGCAAGCAGCUUAUGAGCUGGUUUUCCUAGUCUAGUAAGCAUAUAUAUGGCUGUGGUAGGAAUUAAAGCUCUUGUCAUACAUGAACUCAUCAUGUAGCAACUCAGUGUCAAUAAGAACAAGAUAAACAACAACUCAGACAUUUUAUAUCAUAUUCGUCAAUCACCUACACUUAGAUCAAACAUUCGCUACCCACAAGUUUCAAGUUUAGAGCAAAUCUUAGGUCAAAACAAUCAUUUCCAAAACUUGGGAGAGUUCAAGGUUGAAAACUAGACACUUGAAAAGAAUUACGGCAGAGUGAAAGGUCCUAAUAUGGCUAGAGGGGGGUGAAUAGCCUAUUAAAAAUCUACAAACUCACUAGAGGAAGAGGUUAGUAAAUACAAAGUGAAGCUUUUUGCUCUAGCUCUAAUGGGGUGUUUGUAAGCAACCUAUUCAACAAUUCUAGUUGGUAAGAUCACUAGGCACACAAGAGCUAUGUCACUACAAGCUACACUAGUGAGCUAUACUACACAAGGCAAAGUGACCAACAAAACUAAUUAUACUACUUUGCGGUAAAUAGAGAAUAAGACGAGAUAUUUAUACCUGUAAUACCCGAUUUUAAGGACCAUAAGUGAGUUUUAGAAGCCAAAUCUCACAUAUAGCUACAAAUGAGGGGUAAUAUCAAAAGACAAUGCAUAAAUUAUAUAACGUACAUAAUAUAAAAGAGAUAACCUUUGAUAACAAUCAACGGAUAGACAACUCGAACUUCGGGUAUUUACUUCUCUCUACAGGAUCCAACUGACUGGUUGAUCACGAACCUAACACAAUUUGAAUGGGUCAAAUCGGAGUUAAAAUGAAUAUUUUAUGGCCAAAAGAAAGUCAGUGGCAAUUCUGUAAAUAGUGAAAACAUAUUUUUAAUCUAAAACCGAGUUGUUUGUAUUUUCCAAACUGAAAGAUAAAGUGAUUGGGGCUUACGUUGGUGGAUAGGGAGUAGGUUCACCGGCAGUGACGCUUUCUUGGAGCUACAGCAACGCCGGAGCAGCCGACCGUUCGUAGAUGUCCUGUAUAGGCGAGACGAUGACGAUCACGUUGUAGAGAAAAAAAUAUAAAUUUUAUUUUACUACCUUAGGAAUUCUCAAAUUAGAGGCUUCCUAUAUGAUAGUCUUUGAUGUGCUUUGCCUAAGGGGUUGGCACAUAUAUAUAGGGAGAAAAACUUUCCACCUCCACGUCAACUAGCGAUAUGGUACUAAUUGAUUCACAACCUUCAUCUUUACUAAUAGGUCUAAUUAAUUAUUAAAGCCCAUUAGUAAAUAACUACAUGAUUUUUGGGAUUUAUUAUGGGCUUCGACGUUGGAAAAAAAUAAUAAGAGAUUUAUUAUUUUUCGGAAUUAAUUAUUUUCAUUGAUAAAAUAAUUGUAGACAAGUUUAGAAUUAGUAGUUAAGCCACGAAAAAUACUCCGAAAGCUCCGAAAAUUCGGAAAAAAUUCUCAGAGAUAUUAUAGGACAUGGGGAACCCCAAUAAAGUUUUUGGAGCUCAUGAUAAGAUUAUUUAGAGCAUCUAAAAAUUAGAUCAUGCUCAGAGAAUAGUGAGAACAGAAGAUGGAAAAAAUCCCGAAAAGUUUGUAGAGAGUGCUUGAUGGACGAGGAACUAAAAGAAGUGCUAUGAGUGACAAAGAAAAUAUUUUAGGGAGGUCCUAAUAAAAAUUUAAGCUUAAAAACAAGGAAUUUGGUUGUAGAUAAAACAUAAAUACGUGCCGAAUAAGGAAGAUCGAUCUACUAAACGUAUUUUAAAUAUUUUUCUUACUAUCAACACAUAAAGGAGCAACAAGCAUCACAUCAAAACAUAUGCACCAGCAUGUAUGCAUAAUAAUAUUGCUAAGCCUUAUGAUAAAUUUUAAUUUAAUGAAAAAUAUUAUUUUCCUAUAUUUUCAUGAGCACAAAAACACAAAAAUAAAUAAUUUUAUCUAUAUUUCAAAAGGAGUAAAUUUUAGGAUGUUACAAUACCGCCGUGUACGGGAUAAACCAAUCACCAAUAUAGACAAUCAAACACCAGGAGAAUGCCAAUCAAUCAUAAUUAAGACACUGAUUUUUCUCCCAAGGUUGACAUGCUUGCCGACACGCUACGUCCCCGUUGUGUCGACCAACACUUGGUGGUUCGGCGGCUAAGAGGUGUAGCACGAACCUCGUCCUCACUAGGACACCGCAAGAACCUACACACAAGUGAGGUAGCUCAAUGACACAAGCAAUCCACUAAUGUUGCCUUUGGCUCUCCGCUGAGGUAGGCACAAACCCCUCACAAUCACCGGGAGAUGGUAACGGACAAUCACCAACUCGUGCCAAAGCUCCUCCGCUGCUCCAAGCCGUCUAGGUGGCGGCAACCACCAACAGUAACAAGAAAACCGUAGCCAAAUCCUGAUAAUCCCACGUCUUCGCAUUGUCGCUCGAUCUCAUCCUUGUGGAGCCACGGAUACCGGUAUGGACGUAUCGCCGCUGGUGCAGAGCCUGGCAGAAGAUGAAUCCGAUGAUCGAUCUUGGUAGCAUGCCGGUGGCAGGCCGCGUGGCUCCUCGAAGAUGUUCUGAUAGGACUGCAACAGCUCUAGGAUAGGCAGGGGUCAGCGACGGCACGAGCUGCCACCCUGUUGCUGCCCAGACCAGUCUANNNNNNNNNNNNNNNNNNNNNNNNNNNNNNNNNNNNNNNNNNNNNNNNNNNNNNNNNNNNNNNNNNNNNNNNNNNNNNNNNNNNNNNNNNNNNNNNNNNNGGAGUAGUUUGCUUAGGCUCACAAGGAUGUCAAGUAUGCUAGAAUGCCAAGAAAGUGAACCCCAAGCCGGCCAACAACUAUUUAUAAGCCCUUCAAACAAAUAGAGCCGUUGGCUCUUUCAUUUGGUAGAAAACGAGGUCACAGAACGCGUCGCAGGGAACCAUCGGUCGCUCAAGCCCCGCAUCUGGUGCCCUGAAAACUGCUAUGUGUCCCCCUUUCCACUUUCGCGCGUCGAUCUCUAACGGUCACCUCUAGAGCACCGGAAAUGGUCAAGUUGGCACCGGACGCGUCUGGUGCACACCAGCCACAUGCGUAGAGAGGUCUGCAAAUGCAUGAGGUCACUCGAUGCUGAGCACACCGGUCUCAUAGGCAGGGAGGUUCGCAAUCAGUUCGCACACCGGACGUGGAGCACCAGACACUCCGCUGCGUCCGGUGCCCUGUCAGAAAACUACAUAGUCUAGCGCACUAACGCUAACUAGCACCAGACUCGCACACAGUAGACACAGGUGCGGGGCGUCUAGUGUGCUUUGCACUCUCUGGUCAGACAUCGACAUAGCACCGGACGCAUCCAGUGCCUUUGUGCACUACGUCCGGUGAGUGUUUCUUAGCGAGAAACACUCCCAUGACUUCUCCAAACUUCCCAUCGGCGCAAUAGAAAAUAUGCAUUUCAUUUUUUCAAAAGCAAACCCAAACCCUUUCUACCCUUUAGACUCCACCUCCUUCUCA